rnacentral:rRNA from 1 species
AACGAACGCUGGCGGCAGGCCUAACACAUGCAAGUCGAGCGCCCCGCAAGGGGAGCGGCGGACGGGUGAGUAACGCGUGGGAACGUACCUUUUGCUUCGGAAUAGCCUCGGGAAACUGGGAGUAAUACCGAAUGUGCCCUACGGGGGAAAGAUCUAUCGGCAAAAGAUCGGCCCGCGUUGGAUUAGGUAGUUGGGGGGGUAAUGGCCUACCAAGCCGACGAUCCAUAGCUGGUUUGAGAGGAUGAUCGGCCACACUGGGACUGAGACACGGCCCAGACUCCUACGGGAGGCAGCAGUGGGGAAUCUUAGACAAUGGGCGCAAGCCUGAUCUAGCCAUGCCGCGUGAGCGAUGAAGGCCUUAGGGUUGUAAAGCUCUUUCGUGGGGGAAGAUAACGACUGUACCCCAAGAAGAAGCCCCGGCUAACUCCGUGCCAGCCGCCGCCGUAACAC